rnacentral:lncRNA from 1 species
CUCCGGGGCGCGUUGUUCUCAUUUGUAUGGGAGAGCUGGUCCAGACUGGGUGCUGACCCACCAGUGUCUGUGACUCAGUUAGCCUACUACCUACUGUUGUUCAUCACUCAGUCUUGUCCAGCUCUUUGUGACCCCAUGGACUACAGUGCGCCAGGCUUCCCUGUCCUUCACUAUCUCCCGGAGUUUGCUCAAACUCUUGUCCAUUGAGUCAUUGAUGCCAUCCCAUCUCAUCCUCUGUCACCCCCUUCUCCUCUUGCCCUCAAUCUCUCCCAGCAUCAGAGUCUUUUCCAAGGAGGUGGUUCUGCAUCAGGUGGCCAGAGUAUUGGAGUUUCAGCUUCAGCAUCAGUCCUUCCAGUGAAUAUUCAGGGUUGCUUUCCUUUAGGAUUGACUAGUUUGAUCUCCUUACAGUCCAGUAAGUCCAGCUGUACUGGCACACAGCCACAGCCACUUAUGUAGGUAUUGUCAGUAUCUUCUUUCCCACUACAAGGGCAGAGGUAAGUAGCUGCUAAAUAGACCUUACGGCCUGCAAAGCUCAAGAUAUUUACCAUCUCAUCCCUUACUGGAAAAAUUUAUUAAUCAGACCUAAAAUAUUUCUACAAUUCAAACUCUAAACACUAUAAUUCCUCUAUAUCUUGAACUAAUCUUUUUUUUUUUUCCCCUGAGUGUUUCUCUGUGUCUUGUGGAUUGGAUAUGUACUUAUGUUUCCUCUGAAGGCCAAGACAUAACCACUUGGCAGUAAAUAGGACUUGAAAGCAAAGAAUCAGACCCUCAAUGGAAAGGAAGCUCCUGGGAGAGUCUGCUUCCCUCUGGAGAUUGCUCCUUCUCUCUCUCUCUGGCUGGCCAACUCCUGGUGAUCUCCUGGGACUCAAGACACCUGACCUUCUCAAGAAGGUUUUUCUGACUUUCCCUGCUCCUCUCCUAAGGCUUGAUUUCAUAACACCUUGUACUGUAUAGCAGUGAUUAUGGUUGUGAUUUAACCUGAAGGCAAGGACUGUGCCCACUGCCGUUGCUCACCCCCACAUCCCCAGUGCCUAGACCAGCACUUGGCAAAAGGCAUAAAUAAAUUUAUAUUGAAUGAUUUAGAUGAAUGAUUA